UACGGGGGGGGGCAAGCGUUGUUCGGAAUUACUGGGCGUAAAGCGUGCGUAGACGGCUAUCUAAGUCGGGUGUGAAAGCCCCGGGCUCAACCUGGGAAUUGCAUUCGAGACUGAAUAGCUAGGGUACGGUAGAGGGAAGUGGAAUUUCCGGUGUAGCGGUGAAAUGCGUAGAUAUCGGAAGGAACAUCAGUGGCGAAAGCGACUUCCUGGACCAGUACCGACGUUCAGGCACGAAAGCGUGGGGAGCAAACAGG
rnacentral:rRNA from 1 species